GCCUUAGCUCAAUUGGCAGAGCAAUUGAUUUGUAAUCAAUAGGUUGCUGGUUCGAUUCCGGCAGGCG
rnacentral:tRNA from 1 species